UACGAAGGGGGGCUAGCGUUGUUCGGAAUUACUGGGCGUAAAGCGCACGUAGGCGGAAUGUUAAGUCAGGGGUGAAAUCCCGGGGCUCAACCCCGGAACUGCCUUUGAUACUGGCAUUCUGGAGUCCGGAAGAGGUGAGUGGAAUUCCGAGUGUAGAGGUGAAAUUCGUAGAUAUUCGGAGGAACACCAGUGGCGAAGGCGGCUCACUGGUCCGGUACUGACGCUGAGGUGCGAAAGCGUGGGGAGCAAACAGG
rnacentral:rRNA from 1 species